AAGGCGGCGGAGGGUCUGUCAGAGAUGGCGUGCUUGAUGGCCGUCUGGUCCGCCCACAACCCCGCCGUCACCAACGCCAUCGUCAUGAACACCAACGGGCCUCCAGACCUGAUGCUGGACCCCCGAUCCGUGUGCGUCUUCGUGGACCGGGUCGAUGAGGCGCGGGCGCCACCGUCUCCAGAACAUGGGAGGAAGAUGGACACCAGCCUGACGGAGGCCCAGAGGUUCUCCUCGUUGCCGCGGAGACCAGCCGUCAACAUGGAGUUCAGAGACGUGUCGUACUCCAUAAAAGAGGGGCCGUGGUGGAGAAAGACAGGUAACAAGACUCUGCUCAGAGGGAUCUCUGGGAAGUUCUCCAGCGGGGACCUGGUGGCCAUCAUGGGGCCCUCAGGGGCAGGGAAGUCCACACUCAUGAACAUCCUGGCAGGAUACAGGGAGAGGGGAAUGAAGGGGGAGAUCCUUAUCAACAGUCAGCCCAGAGACCUGCGCUCCUUCAGGAAAGUGUCCUGUUACAUCAUGCAGGACGACAUGCUGCUCCCUCACCUGACCGUGCAGGAAGCCAUGAUGGUGUCCGCCAACCUGAAGCUGCAGGAGAAGGCAGAGGCUCGCCGGGAGAAGGUCCGGGAGAUCCUCAUCGCUUUGGGGUUACUGGACUGUGUGAAGACCCGAACGUCUCACCUGUCGGGGGGGCAGAGAAAAAGGCUGGCUAUCGCUUUGGAGCUGGUCAACAACCCACCUGUUAUGUUCUUUGACGAACCCACCAGUGGGUUGGACAGUUCCUCGUGUUUCCAGGUGGUGUCGCUGUUAAAGGCGUUGGCUCGAGGCGGCCGUACCGUCAUCUGCACCAUCCAUCAACCAAGUGCCAAACUCUUUGAGCUCUUUGACAAGCUCUACGUGCUGAGUCAGGGUCAAUGUAUCUACAGAGGAAACGUUUCCAGCCUGGUUCCUUACCUGAGGGACCUCGGACUCAACUGCCCCACCUACCACAACCCGGCCGACUUUGUGAUGGAGGUGGCCUCGGGGGAGUACGGGGAUCAAAUGGUGCCCCUGGUGACGGCCGUGCGGAACAUGAAGCAUGAGGGCGACCAGCAAACGGAGCUGAACGGCGACGCCAAGCCCCACACGGUGAUGUGGCAGCGACCUGACGAGGAGUCGUCAUCUGAAGGUUGUCACAGUUUUUCUGCCAGUUGCAGAGUUCAGUUCUCCAUUUUGUUUAGAAGAACUUUCCUCAGCAUCCUGAGAGACUCGGUGCUGACUCACCUGAGGAUCACCUCCCACAUCGGGAUUGGCGUUCUCAUUGGCCUGCUUUACCUGGGCAUCGGCAACGAGGCCAAGAAGGUCCUCAGUAAUUCAGGCUUCCUCUUCUUCUCCAUGUUGUUCCUCAUGUUCGCUGCUCUGAUGCCAACUGUUCUCACCUUCCCUCUGGAGAUGGGAGUAUUUCUGAGGGAACAUCUCAACUACUGGUACAGUCUCAAGGCUUUCUACUUGGCUAAGACCAUGGCCGACGUUCCUUUCCAGGUGGUAUUCCCGGUGGUGUACUGCAGUAUCGUGUACUGGAUGACAGCUCAGCCUCCAGACGCCACACGCUUCUUCCUCUUCCUGUCCCUGGGGGUCAUGACCUCGCUGGUGGCACAGAGUCUUGGCCUGCUAAUUGGAGCUGCUUCCACCUCGCUGCAGGUGGCCACCUUUGUGGGUCCGGUCACAGCAAUUCCGGUUCUGCUGUUUUCUGGCUUCUUUGUAAGUUUUGACACGAUCCCUUGGUACCUGCAGUGGAUGUCCUACAUCUCCUAUGUCAGAUACGGUUUUGAAGGAGUCAUCCUGUCCAUCUAUGGUUUGGAGCGAGAGGAUCUUCACUGUGAACAUGAUGACACGUGUCACUUCCAGAAGUCUGACGCCAUCCUGCAAGAACUGGACAUGAUGGACGCCAAAUUAUACCUGGACUUUGUUGUCCUGGCCAUUUUCUUCUUCUCGCUGCGUCUCAUCGCUUACUUCAUCCUCAGAUACAAAAUCAGUGCUGAGAGGUAGACCGGGAAUGUGGGGUGGGGAUCUGGAAUGUGCGAAGAGGAUAUCCCCUGCUUAGGCCCAAAAGCAAAUCAGUUGUCCGUGUGUCCUGCAGGGACAGGAGCAGGUCUCCAAGCUCCUGUAGUUUUUCCUCAGCGGAGAGACCACAUGACAGAUGGACCGGUUUACAGUCUUUUGAAAACUGGCCAUUAUAAAAGGGAGUUAUUGGGGAUCCCGGGGAACUCCAAUGUAUACUCAUUCAAUAGCUCGUGCUAAAAAUAACGGACAAUGCACAUUUUGAAAUGAAUUCCUUUACAACUCCUGUGACCAUCUUUAAUUCAGCUAACUUUUAAAAUGCACAUUUUCUUGCAUGAUGUUAUCUCCAAAGACAAUAAAAAAGACCCACAAAGGUCUGAGGUCUCCCCAAGGGUGACACAGCUAAAAAAAAAGGUCAACCACAGUCACUUUGAGGGUUGCUAUGAAAACGCACAAACCAAUGUGGUUUAAGAGAGUGAAGCAAUAUGAGACGGAAUCACAAACUUUUAAUACAGUUAGGAAAAAUAAAGUACCUCCUGACUUUUCUAA